rnacentral:rRNA from 1 species
UACAUGGGGUGCAAACGUUGCUCGGAAUUAUCGGGCGUAAAGCGCACGUAGGCGGUUCGUUAAGUCGGAUGUGAAAGCCCUCGGCUCAACUGAGGAAGUGCACCCGAAACUGGCGAGCUUGAGUACGAAAGAGGAUCGCGGAAUUCCCGGUGUAGAGGUGAAAUUCGUAGAUAUCGGGAGGAACACCGGUGGCGAAGGCGGCGAUCUGGGUCGAUACUGACGCUGAGGUGCGAAAGCGUGGGGAGCAAACAGG